GAUGAAGAACGCAGCGAAAUGCGAUAAGUAGUGUGAAUUGCAGAAUUCAGUGAAUCAUCGAAUCUUUGAACGCACAUUGCGCCCCUUGGUAUUCCAUGGGGCAUGCCUGUUCGAGCGUCAUUUGUACCUUCAAGCUUUGCUUGGUGUUGGGUGUUUGUCUCGCCUUUGCGUGUAGACUCGCCUUAAAAUAAUUGGCAGCCGGCGUAUUGAUUUCGGAGCGCAGUACAGCUCGCGCUUUGCACUCAUAACGACAGCGUCCAAAAGUACAUUUUACACUCUUGACCUCGGAUCAGGUAGGGAUACCCGCUGAACUUAAGCAUAUCAAUAAGCGGAGGA
rnacentral:misc_RNA from 1 species